rnacentral:rRNA from 1 species
AUUGAACGCUGGCGGCAGGCCUAACACAUGCAAGUCGAGCGGAUGAAGGGAGCUUGCUCCCUGAUUUAGCGGCGGACGGGUGAGUAAUGCCUAGGAAUCUGCCUGGUAGUGGGGGACAACGUUUCGAAAGGAACGCUAAUACCGCAUACGUCCUACGGGAGAAAGUGGGGGAUCUUCGGACCUCACGCUAUCAGAUGAGCCUAGGUCGGAUUAGCUAGUUGGUGAGGUAAAGGCUCACCAAGGCGACGAUCCGUAACUGGUCUGAGAGGAUGAUCAGUCACACUGGAACUGAGACACGGUCCAGACUCCUACGGGAGGCAGCAGCGGAGAAUAUUGGACAAUGGGCGAAAGCCUGAUCCAGCCAUGCCGCAUGUGUGAAGAAGGUCUUCGGAUUGUAAAGGACUUUAAGUUGGGAGGAAGGGCAGUAAGUUAAUACCUUGCUGUUUUGACGUUACCAACAGAAUAAGCACCGGCUAACUUCGUG